ACCUGAGGAGACUGAAACUUAGAACCAUUGAAGGGAAGAAACAUGAUCCAACUGAAAGAGCAUCAUCACUGGAUGGAGAAGAAUUCAGAUGAAGAGACAGACAAAGAGAAGCAAAGCAACUUGCCCAGGAGUACAUAACACUUGUGUGUGAAGAUUUAAGUGGAAAAGUCGGUGCACAGAGACAGUCCCACUCUCUCGGUGUUGGAAGCCUGGGUCCAGUGGCACAAAAAGUCGUUACACCUGGAGACUUCCUCAGCUGCAUUGGAUGGCCAUGUUGUCUUUUGUGCUCCAACACGCCCUAAGCACUCCACAGUGCCUUGCUGCAUCGCCAUCUCAGCCGUUGAACCUUCUUGUUGGUUUCUUCCGCCUGUUCUGCUGAAACAGUCUUCACAUGCUGGGGGAGGAGAAAAGGGAAAGUUUCCCAUAAUAAUCAGUAAUUGA
ensembl:lncRNA